UACGAAGGGGGCUAGCGUUGCUCGGAAUCACUGGGCGUAAAGCGCACGUAGGCGGGUUCUUAAGUCAGGGGUGAAAUCCUGGAGCUCAACUCCAGAACUGCCUUUGAUACUGGGAAUCUCGAGUCCGGGAGAGGUGAGUGGAACUGCGAGUGUAGAGGUGAAAUUCGUAGAUAUUCGCAAGAACACCGGUGGCGAAGGCGGCUCACUGGCCCGAUACUGACGCUGAGGUGCGAAAGCGUGGGGAGCGAACAGG
rnacentral:rRNA from 1 species